CAACAAAAAACAUUUAUUUCGAGGUGAAACCGAAAAUAACGGUUAACUGAAAUAUAUACCUAGUCAAGAUUAACGAGAGUGACUUUCACUAACACCCAGAGAACAAGGAUGUAACAUUGCAAACCAAACAAACUUCUUAGAAAACACAUUCAGUUCAAGUGUUAUGACUGUUCACCAAAAUGAACAACCGUCAAGUGCAAAACGCAGUUUAGGGUAAACUAGUAAAUAGGGAAACAAAUGGAAAGUGUAAGAGUCAUUUGAAGCAAUAGACCCAUUAUUGGUACAAGAAUUUGAUGCCACACAAAGAGAAGUAAGAAUAAAUAGAUUGAAAGAUUUUUUAAAGGAGAAUCGUAUGUCGUUAAGAUUAUUGCUAGUGGUAGA